UUAUAAGCGUUAUAAUUUCUUUCACAAAUAUUAUAAACUUAGUCUAGAACUAAAUAUUGGUAUUGAAAGGAAAUUAAUACUUAUAAGGAAUCAUUUGUACCACACGAACAUCAACUAAUAUCUUAGUAGCAUUGUACCUAAUCAGACUAUCAUUUACAAGUUUAGGUUGACGAUAACACAACUUAUUAAAUAUUUUUUAAUGAAAAAAAAUCCAAAGGCAAUGCAAUACUCUUUCUUCAAAAUUAAUGAGGGUGUCACUACAAUAAAUUGUAUAUUUGUUGGUGGAAUAAAGAUGACAAAUACUAAUUUGUCAAUAAAAUGAAUUUUGAAGUAUCUAGAAAACAUUAGAAAGGAGUUGAAUAUUUUUAUUGGAAAACUUUUUUCACAACCAAUAUAAUAGCACUCUCAUCGAGGAUCAAAAGAUUUUGUAUAAGAUGUUAAACGCUCGACUUUUGGAAAUCAAAUUAAAUGAGUUCUUUCCGAGUGUGUUUUAGUCGUUAAAAGGGUUUGUUGCAGCGUUUUAAUAAAGUUUGCUUUUUAAUAAAGAAUCAUUUAACCUAAAGAUCCUUUAUACAAAAAAUAAAGUGCAACUGUAGGUUUUGUAAGAGAAGCACUAGUGGAAAAACGACGUUUAACGUCAACUCAUAGACGUCGGUCAACAGUCCACCGAUGUAAUAAGAUGACCGGUGGCAAUUCCAUAAAUAACUGAAACUAGUAGACGUCGGCUACCUGUGUAACCGAUGUCUCAAACAAUAGAGACGUCGGGCACACUGCACUUUGACGUCUAAAAGGUCUGCAGGAAGGUGAAUAGUCGCCAUAUGGACGUCUAAUACGAGCGCACCGACGUCUAUACUCGACUUUAGACGUCGCCUGGAAGCAAGAGACGUCGGUUAGCUGAUCGCUGACGUUUGUGUCCUGACAGGUUGAUGGAUGUAAUUAAUGUUCGUGCUAAUAGACGCCAGUGCUGCUUAAGAACAUACGUCUAUAGCCUGACAGUUAGGUGGAUUGUAAUAAUAAUUCCGCCAAGUAGACGACGAUCUGACAGGUGGUGACGUCUAUAACAUUAGAGAUGUCGGUCGGCCAUGCAACGGACGCCUAAAAUCCGUGCCAUUAAUUAUAUUUAAAUUAAAAAGACGUGAAAUUAGUUACAACAUCAACGUCUAUAACAUUAUAGACGUCAGUGGAUUAUUGUAACCGACGUAUAUAGCCAUUUAUACUACAGAACGUGAACCCGCGAGCAGUUACCAUCCUUGAUCGUCUUCUUCCUCGCGAUUUCUGUUGCAACAUUGCUUUCCAGUUUGUGGCAUGUUCUUGGGCGACGUUUUUGACCGUUUUUGGCUUAUAUUUUUAGGCGAGUAGUCUUCCAUUUCCCUCCAUUGCUGUUUUAAUCUGCUAAAAAGGUAUGUUUGUAUUAUAGAAAGUGAAGGACUUGAGAUAUCAACUAGCACUUGAUACUGAAAAUUCAGAGUACAUCAUCAGAUUACAGCACGUGGGAGGAGGUGAAAUGUGCACAAGUUUUCUUAAUUUCCCCUUUUGAAAAGAGCUGCUUGCUUGGCGUUGUGUUUGGUAUAUGAUUCAGGUGCACCAUUAUCUCAUUUUAAUUCUACUACUGCCAAAACAUUUAUAAGCAUUUCUUUUUUAAAAUUUCACUUGCCAACACAGUUGAAUAGGUAAAUUGUAUUCUUUGUAUGUUUCAGAGUAUUACUUUUAUCCUGAGUUAGAUUUUUAUUAUUGUUUCUUAAUUUUAUUAUUGAUUUUGUUGUAGUCGUAAGACUUCUUUCAGACUUGAGUUUUUAAAAUUUGAGAUCAAGAGAGGUUCACAUAAUCAAAGAAAGAGCUUGAUGU